GUUCCACUUACUUGUUGUAGCAGGGGUCUAGAAGUAAUGAUACACACAGAAACAUGUGACAAAGCUGCACUUUCACGGCAAAAGUCGUGCAGCUCCUGUCAUGGAAACUUGUUGAUGCCAUCUUUUGCCCAGUGUCAGCUCUGGUCAGCUGCAGCUGCCUGCAGCCCUCAGAGGAGAACAUGUGAUCAAAAAACAGCUCUAAACAGUGACAAUUCAUCAAUGAAAGGUCUCCUUUGCAGCGCUGCAUGAGAAAAGCCGUCCUGUUCCACGCUCACUGCGAGGGUCACCACGAAAGAGGAGCCUUGGCCCUGAACCACUACCACCACCACGUCUUCCAUCCUGGGGAGCGUUUUCUGCAAGCGAUGAAGAAACCAAUAAACAGACUCUCGCUGUGAUCCAUGUCACAUUGUUUGGCCCACCUGCAACCUGUAAACUCCUCACCAUGGACUGGAUGUUCUCAAUUUGUUCCAUGAGGAGGCCCUGGCUUAUAUUAGCCUAAAGGGGGCACUGGAAGAGCAUCUGGUCCGAGCGGCAACACAGCAGCACACUUGCUGGCUCUGGCUUCAGUUUCAAGUCAAUUAACAAAACCCGGGAAAAAAAACACAAGACGGGGAGCAGAACUUCUGUCAGAGAGCGGGGCGGAUCAGGGCACAAUGAUGGUUUUAAGUGCUCGAACACUUUGCACAAAUAGUAUUUGUUGAUGUAGUAAUUUCCAAGAAGUGGGGGCUUAGUUCAUGUGAAAUAACUGGGAAAAGCACUACGAUAAUGACAGAAAUAAACAGUCUAAAACUUU